UACAGAGGUCUCAAGCGUUGUUCGGAUUCAUUGGGCGUAAAGGGUGCGUAGGCGGCGCGGUAAGUCGGGUGUGAAAUCUCGGAGCUUAACUCCGAAACUGCAUUCGAUACUGCCGUGCUUGAGGACUGGAGAGGAGACUGGAAUUUACGGUGUAGCGGUGAAAUGCGUAGAUAUCGUAAGGAAGACCAGUGGCGAAGGCGGCCAGCUAGACCAGUUCUGACACUGAGGCGCGACGAGCGUGGGGAGCAAACAGG
rnacentral:rRNA from 1 species